rnacentral:tRNA from 1 species
GGUGCGGCUCGGCGAGGUGGCCGCGCGCCGUGGCGCGGUGCUGCUCGGGACCGGGCAUCCGCACCGUCUGCUCGGCUUCUACGCCGCUCUG